CAUGCAAGUCGAGGGGAAACGACAUCGAAAGCUUGCUUUUGAUGGGCGUCGACCGGCGCACGGGUGAGUAACGCGUAUCCAACCUGCCCAUCACUUGGGGAUAACCUUGCGAAAGUAAGACUAAUACCCAAUGACGUCUCUAGAAGACAUCUGAAAGAGAUUAAAGAUUUAUCGGUGAUGGAUGGGGAUGCGUCUGAUUAGCUUGUUGGCGGGGUAACGGCCCACCAAGGCGACGAUCAGUAGGGGUUCUGAGAGGAAGGUCCCCCACAUUGGAACUGAGACACGGUCCAAACUCCUACGGGAGGCAGCAGUGAGGAAUAUUGGUCAAUGGGCGAGAGCCUGAACCAGCCAAGUAGCGUGCAGGAUGACGGCCCUAUGGGUUGUAAACUGCUUUUAUAAGGGAAUAAAGUGAGUCUCGUGAGACUUUUUGCAUGUACCUUAUGAAUAAGGACCGGCUAAUUCCGUGCCAGCAGCCGCGGUAAUACGGAAGGUCCGGGCGUUAUCCGGGUUUAUUGGGUUUAAAGGGAGCGUAGGCCGGAGAUUAAGCGUGUUGUGAAAUGUAGACGCUCAACGUCUGCACUGUAGCGCGAACUGGUUUCCUUGAGUACGCACAAAGUGGGCGGAAUUCGUGGUGUAGCGGUGAAAUGCUUAGAUAUCACGAAGAACUCCGAUUGCGAAGGCAGCUCACUGGAGCGCAACUGACGCUGAAGCUCGAAAGUGCGGGUAUCGAACAGGAUUAGAUACCCUGGUAGUCCGCACGGUAAACGAUGGAUGCCCGCUGUUGGUCUGAAUAGGUCAGCGGCCAAGCGAAAGCAUUAAGCAUCCCACCUGGGGAGUACGCCGGCAACGGUGAAACUCAAAGGAAUUGACGGGGGCCCGCAC
rnacentral:rRNA from 1 species